ACAGGUUACCAAACAAGUAGAAGCUAAAGAAAAAGUUCAGCCAAAGACAAAUGUUGCAGUUGUACCAGAAACAAAGAAGCCCACAGAAGAAUCAUCAGAAACAACAGAGGCCCAAACUGAGAAUAAACACACUCAAGGGGGCAUACUGUCCUGGGUCACACAAGGAUUUGACAGCAUCCUCCCCAAGCCAUCAGAAUCUCCUCGAAUUCCCAGGGCUAAUGCUAUUGAAGAG